rnacentral:rRNA from 1 species
UACGAAGGGGGCUAGCGUUGCUCGGAAUCACUGGGCGUAAAGGGUGCGUAGGUGGGUCUUUAAGUCAGAGGUGAAAUCCUGGAGCUCAACUCCAGAACUGCCUUUGAUACUGAGGAUCUUGAGUUCGGGAGAGGUGAGUGGAACUGCGAGUGUAGAGGUGAAAUUCGUAGAUAUUCGCAAGAACACCAGUGGCGAAGGCGGCUCACUGGCCCGAUACUGACACUGAGGCACGAAAGCGUGGGGAGCAAACGGGG